rnacentral:rRNA from 1 species
UACGUAGGUGGCAAGCGUUGUCCGGAUUUACUGGGCGUAAAGAGCGCGCAGGCGGUCGUUCAAGUCGCGUGUGAAAGCCCCCGGCUCAACUGGGGAGGGUCACGCGAUACUGAUCGACUCGAAGGCAGGAGAGGGUAGUGGAAUUCCCGGUGUAGUGGUGAAAUGCGUAGAUAUCAGGAGGAACACCGGUGGCGAAGGCGGGUCUCUGGGCCGAAACUGACGCUGAGGAGCGAAAGCGUGGGGAGCGAACAGG